rnacentral:rRNA from 1 species
UAUAGGAGGUCCAGCCUGCCCAGUGACCGCAAGUUCAACGGCCGCGGUAUUUUGACCGUGCAAAGGUAGCGCAAUCACUUGUCUUUUAAAUAGAGACCUGUAUGAAUGGCUAAACGAGGGCUUAACUGUCUCCCUUUUCAGGUCAGUGAAAUUGAUCUACCCGUGCAGAAGCGGGUAUAACAAUACAAGACGAGAAGACCCUUUGGAGCUUAAGGUACAAAACUCAACCACGUCAAGCAACUUAAUAAAAAGUAAAAACUUUGUGAGGCAUGAGAUUUUACCUUCGGUUGGGGCGACCACGGAGGAAAAAAGAGCCUCCAAGUGGACCGGGACAAACUCCUAAAACCAAGAGAGACAUCUCUAAGCCACAGAACAUCUGACCAAACAUGAUCCGGCCACCAGGACCGAUCAACGAACCAAGUUACCCUAGGGAUAACAGCGCAAUCCCCUCCCAGAGUCCAUAUCGACGAGGGGGUUUACGACCUCGAUGUUGGAUCAGGACAUCCUAAUGGUGCAGCCGCUAUUAAGGGUUCGUUUGUUCAACGAUUAAAGUCCUACGUGA